rnacentral:rRNA from 1 species
UACGGAGGGGGCUAGCGUUGUUCGGAAUUACUGGGCGUAAAGCGCGCGUAGGCGGAUCUGCAAGUCGGGGGUGAAAUCCCGAGGCUCAACCUCGGAACUGCCUUCGAUACUGCGGGUCUCGAGUCCGGGAGAGGUGAGUGGAAUUCCUAGUGUAGAGGUGAAAUUCGUAGAUAUUAGGAAGAACACCAGUGGCGAAGGCGGCUCACUGGCCCGGUACUGACGCUGAGGCGCGAAGGCGUGGGGAGCGAACAGG